AAAUAAGAAGCAAAUAUUGCAUUUAAUUUCGACUUAAAAAUAUGAGAAUAAUUUUCUCCUUAUUUA
rnacentral:tRNA from 1 species